rnacentral:rRNA from 1 species
ACCCGCUGAACUUAAGCAUAUCAAUAAGCGGAGGAAAAGAAACCAACAGGGAUUGCCCUAGUAACGGCGAGUGAAGCGGCAACAGCUCAAAUUUGAAAUCUGGCGUCUUUGGCGUCCGAGUUGUAAUUUGCAGAGGGCGCUUUGGCAUUGGCAGCGGUCCAAGUUCCUUGGAACAGGACGUCACAGAGGGUGAGAAUCCCGUACGUGGUCGCUAGCCUUUACCGUGUAAAGCCCCUUCGACGAGUCGAGUUGUUUGGGAAUGCAGCUCUAAAUGGGAGGUAAAUUUCUUCUAAAGCUAAAUACUGGCCAGAGACCGAUAGCGCACAAGUAGAGUGAUCGAAAGAUGAAAAGCACUUUGGAAAGAGAGUUAAAAAGCACGUGAAAUUGUUGAAAGGGAAGCGCUUGCAGCCAGACUUGCCUGUAGUUGCUCAUCCGGGUUUUUACCCGGUGCACUCUUCUAUAGGCAGGCCAGCAUCAGUUUGGGCGGUUGGAUAAAGGUCUCUGUCAUGUACCUCUCUUCGGGGAGAACUUAUAGGGGAGACGACAUGCAACCAGCCCGGGCUGAGGUCCGCGCAUCUGCUAGGAUGCUGGCGUAAUGGCUGU